UUGAGUUGCACUGCCAAAGAAACCACAGACCUUAACUGUACAUGUUCAAGACUUAAAAUGAGCCCUGAGCCCCUAACUUUCCGAGAGCAACUUCAGAGAAGUUGCUGACAGAGAAAUUAUUUCCUGGUACUUUGUUCAGAUGUGGCAAUGGAAUAUAAUGGAAAAGGAAGGACUUCCUAGAAGAUUUCUGGAUCAAGAGGAGCAACAUUUGGAACUUACAUGGGAAUAGACACGCCUCACCCUGAGAUUCCACACUUUGAGCUUGAUCAUGACUGGAUGGGACUUUUAUGCGGUCUCCCUUGGGAAAGAGGGGGAGGCACAUCCUGCCAAAUAAACCAUUCUUCUCACCAGUUGAAUUUCGUUCAUUGGAUUUUAGUAGCAUGUUCUUGGCCCCCCUGGUAAUCUUCCAUCAAAUGAAAAUGAAGACCAAUACUAUUCUUUGAAAAAACAAAAACAAAAAAAGCUGCUUAAUACUGCUCAGUAGUGAUCCUGAACCAAAAUUAACUAGGGUUUAUCAGACCAGAACAACUGGAAUCUCGUGUUUCUUGUACAUUCCAAAAGUGUCUGGUUUGGAAGAGAGAAGUCACAAGGAAUGGAGCAUAAAAGGUCUCUGGAGUGUGCCACACUGCAUUAGUUAUGUCCCCUGGGAAAAGAGCAUCAGUGUUUCUGCAUCUUGAGAAACAAGAGAACCUGGCAAAAAAGGAUCUUCAAUUCAAACCGACUCCUCCAGCAGCUUCCAUUCAAACAGUAAUACAAGUGAGAAAAUUAGACGGUUAUGAAAUGUUAUUUGGCAAAGACACAGCACCGUCCCUAUCAUCUCCAACUCACGACAGCUCCUCUAAGCCUCAGCUAACAGAUUAAGUAAACAUAGAAAUACGUGUAUUUUUUUUUCCUUUUUAAAGAAAGCUUGUUUAAUCUUUAUAUCAUCUUUUACCAUAAGAUACGCUGGGAGUUUAUUCAAGAAUUUGCUGAAAGUCAUAUCCUUAUUUUUCACGUUUCCAAGGCUCUUCCUCAACACUGCCGUCAGCUGACUUUCCGUUGGCUGCCAGAGUUACCUGAAAAUAAUUAUCAUCAACAUCCAGCUUUCAAGCCAUGAACCAGGAAAAAAGCCCAUAGGUUAUGUGGAGGAGCACUAGAUCCAGGGUUCUAUUAGAAGACUUCAGUAUUUGUUCUUUCAAAUUGGUUUUGAGCCUGUCUUGGUUUAACACUGAUUUGUGAAUGUUAAAAAAUAUACAUUUGCCUUGGGGGUACUGAAGGAUUAGAGAUACAUUGAAAUUUGGGGGAUUAAUUCUGUGAUGCUUUCUGGGUUGUGGGGCUGUCUAUCUAUAGACAAAUUACACAAUAACAAAGUCCUUAGACAAUAAUGUUCAUGUGCUACUCCAUACAACCACAGAGAAAAUUCCAGAACUAGGCAACUAGUUCUACUCAUGCAUAUAAAGGGUUCAGUUGCAAUGAUGCCAGAUGAAUUUAUACAUGCCUGCUUUUAAAAUCAGAAAUCACAAUGGUUUGGCCUGAGAUUAAUUAACAAUGUUUAUCUGAAUUAGUUCAAUGCCAGGAUUUACUAAUUAAAUAUAAUCACCAGACUUCCCUGGCUCAAAGCAAGCUGAACCCUUAUGUAGAAUGGGAGGUUUCCCUCCACUUCUAAAUACUUUUCCUAGCUUACCUUAUGUCUGUCUGUCCUCAACGUCAUGUGCAAACCUUAAACCCACGAUUGAUAUUCCACAUAAUGGAGAGACUGGAUUUAUGGAAGCAUUAGGAUAUGGAGACAUGACAAACGCAGCAAUGUUUGAAAGAAAUCUGACCUUCUUCUUACCCAAGUGGAAGUGAAAUGCAUGCAUUAAGAGCACACACCGCAUGCUAGGCAAAGAAAACCAUGUGCCCUUCACAAACCAAGCAAAUGAAAACAAAAACUGUUCAUUCCUCCAAUCCCCGUUUGCCCCCACCCAAUAUUUUAGAAAGACCAUGCAACAAGCUAUGACAGCUCCCCAUGCAGUUACUCUGAUUAAAAUGAAAAAGCUCUUGUGAAACUUCAAACUGCUAUUACCAGGCAAGAGUUUGAAAACAGAGAGACCAACAUGACGUAACAAUGCUUGAAGUGGUUAAAGUUUUGACCAGAGCUGCAGCAAAUUUGUUUCCCCUUCAGUGAACUGUCGAGAAAAAGACUGCCAGGGACAGACUGUCUGCCUGGAGAAAUCUACCUUUCACCAUGACCUUGAAUGCACCUGUUUGGCUUUCAGUGAUGAAUGAGGUCAGUAGCAGUGCAAAAUUAUAAAUCAUGAUGUGGUGCCUUUGGAAGAACCAGACAGCCCAUGGGGAAAGGGUGGGUUUUUGUUGUUGUUGUUGUUUUGUUUGUUUUUAAGACUGGGGCCUGUGUUUCAAAUGUAACUAGGGCAGGAUAUUUGUGGCAUUUCCUUUCCUGGCUGGAUGAAAGGAAGCUGGGACUCCUUUCUCCAAAUCAUUCCACCCUUGUCUGUCCCAACCACCUGGGUAAUAGAAAAGCAAAAAGAAGAGGGACCUGGCCAUAAGCACUUGACAUUUCCCACCUCAAAUUUUUUAAACAUGAAAAACAGUGACACGGAGAAUUCCCUAGAAGGAAGCUCAAACGAAUGAAUGAAUGUGGCCCAGAUAUUCUGGGAAAGGGAGUAAAUUCAUCCCCAUAGCUCUGGCUGUCAUGGAUGACAUAGUUAACUUACCUAGAACAAGAAGAGUCAAAUUGCCUCAUAGAGCAAAGAUUAAGAAUCAAUUAAUCUUCACUGAGCUUAACCCAGUUGCUUUACUAAAACAAUACCAGCAGUUGAAAUAUUUACUAAACCAAUAUGGGUAUCAUCUUCAUGACCUAUUCAGUUUGACCAUUGGACCAUCUAAAUAAUUGAGCUGGAACUGUCCAACAAAAAGAUGAUCUGAAAUAAAGCAUGGGGUGGAGAUGCUAAAAGGAUACAUUAGACAAAGAUUUAUUGAGCACUUACUACAUGCCAGGACACAGCAGUAAAAAAUGGGAACAAAGUCUCUCUCCUCAUGGACUUAACUCCUAGUGAUAGUCAGAGUUUUGAUUUUUUUUUCAUUUAAGGAAAUUUUUCCUGAUGUGCUUGAUAUCUUUUAAGAAAAAACCUUCCAGGGAAGUCUGAAAUCUAAUGAGAUCUCCAUAUCUGUAUGGACCAUGCCAUAAAAAAUUAACCACUAGGUUUAUUCUUAUAUUCAAUUGCAAAAUUAAAAAGUAUACAUGGUGAUUUCAUUUUGUUUCUUACUACUUUUUCCUUGCAUGACAGUAAUUUGGGUUCAACUUUUAUGGGCACACUGUAAACAUGUGAUGAGUGAUCAAAAUACAGGGGGUCACAGGAGUGAGAUGGGGCACUCAAAUAAACCCUACAAGGCACGUAAUAUGUAUUUGUUAAAAUACUGGUACAUAAAGCCAUUCCAUGGGAAUGUUGAACCUUGCAUUACAUGUUUUCUUUAUCCUUAUGCAAUACCCUUGUGGUCCCAAGCUAACAUCGUGAUAAGGAACAGUCCGACAUAUUCACUUAAAUGUGGGAAACACUAACUUCCCAGGAGAAUGGAGUAUGCCCUUUAGGUACAGCUGAAUUUCUAAUAAUUAGAAUAAUUUUCAUGAACAGACAAUUAAUUUAUGCAAUCACCUCUUGAUGGGUAGGUUUCCUCCCUAAUUUGUGUUUGAGCCUUUGUUCACCCACAAAUGUGCCUGAUAUAAAAAAGAUGAGCAAAAGACUAGGUUCUGGAAUAUUUUAUAAUCCAGUAAAGAGAAUUGCUUCUGAGUCAUCCUUAGUUGCCUGGCAGAAGCUGUGCUGUUUAUUUGGAAUGACCCAGAAAUACUGACCUUACCAGCAAGAAUCAAAAAGAUGUUGGACACCAGUAUCGGGUUUGGAUUGUUUUUGGCUGCUGCCUGGAACCAUUUUAGCAAAGCACUCCCCAAAGCUGACUCCUAGCUCACCUGCCAGGGUUUCUCCAAGUUUGCUUCACUCUGGUCAUGAAACUCUUUGACAGUGCCAGGUUAAUUACAAUGAAGGCUAAAUAGAGCCCAUCAAAUUGGAAGACUUAGCACUCAACAGCCUGGAGAAGAGCCCAGACCAUCCAUGCUGCAGGAAAGAUGGUGGCACCAGGCAGUGUGUGAGAUGUAGAGUUUUUAAAAAGACAUCUCUGAAUAAUUUUCCUGAAGAACAGUUAUCCUUUACUUGAAAUUGCUUCCCUUUUCUUGCAGUAAAGGGACUAUCAGGUCAACACUCACCCUCCCACACACAAAAAAACAAGAGAAAGACAACUGCAUGAAGUUAUGUGGGCUUUUUUCUUUUUUUUUUUUUAACCAAUAUGUGUUAUGCAGCAAGGAGGAAAACUUGUGCUGUAGAAGUUAAAUGAUGCUGUGUAUUUCCCCUGGUGUUUCACUUGAAGAAUAGAAUAUUUGAAUGCCAGCAAAGUUCCAGCAACCACAAAUUCUUGGACAAAAUAUUCAAGAAAACCAAUCAAAUUAGUGGAGCAGGUGGGUAGGGGAAGCAUAAUGGUUGUUUUAUAUCAUGUGGAUGAAACAAGCAGUUGAUUGACUCUUUCAUGAUUAGAGCUGUUGAUUUCCCACCAUGUUAGGCACAGAGUUAGAUGAUCUUGGACUCAUAGAAGCCUGGGUUACAUGAUUCUUUAGAAAAAUAAAAGUGACAAAAAUACA